rnacentral:Y_RNA from 1 species
GGCUGGUCUGAUGCAAGUGGGUUAUCAGAACUUAUUAACAUUAGUGUCACUAAAGGUGGUAUACAACCCCCCGCUGCCAAAUUUGACUGGUUAAAA